rnacentral:rRNA from 1 species
AACCUCCGCAAUGUGAGAAAUCGCGACGGGGGGAUCCCAAGUGCCAUUCUUAACGGGAUGGCUUUUCAUUAGUGUAAAGAGCUUUUGGAAUAAGAGCUGGGCAAGACCGGUGCCAGCCGCCGCGGUAACACCGGCAGCUCUAGUGGUAGCAUUUUUAUUGGGCCUAAAGCGUCCGUAGCCGGUUUAAUAAGUCUCUGGUGAAAUCCUGUAGCUUAACUGUGGGAAUUGCUGGAGAUACUAUUAGACUUGAGACCGGGAGAGGUUAGAGGUACUCCCAGGGUAGAGGUGAAAUUCUGUAAUCCUGGGAGGACCGCCUGUUGCGAAGGCGUCUAACUGGAACGGUUCUGACGGUGAGGGACGAAAGUUAGGGGCGCGAACCGGAUUAGAUACCCGGGUAGUCCUAACCGUAAACGAUGCGGACUUGGUGUUGGGUGGCUUUGAGCUGCUCCAGUGCCGAAGGGAAGCUGUUAAGUCCGCCGCCUGGGAAGUACGGUCGCAAGACUGAACUUAAAGGAAUU